UUGUCUCGGGUGCGACGGCGGUGCAAGUCCCCUGGAAGAGGGGUCGUAGAGGGUGAGAAUCCCGUAUGCCACCGCCAGUUAACCCCGGGUGAGACCCUUUCGACGAGUCGAGUUGUUUGGGAAUGCAGCUCUAAAUGGGUGGUAAAUUUCAUCUAAAGCUAAAUAUCCGCCAGAGACCGAUAGCGCACAAGUAGAGUGAUCGAAAGAUGAAAAGCACUUUGAAAAGAGAGUCAAACAGUACGUGAAAUUGUUGAAAGGGAAGCGCUUGCAACCAGACUCGACCGCGUGUGUUCAGCCGUCCCUCGGGGCGGUGCACUCUCACGCGGACGGGCCAGCAUCGGUUUCGGCGGCCGGAUAAAGGCCCUGGGAAUGUAGCUUCUUUGGAGUGUUAUAGCCCGGGGUGUAAUGCGGCCUGCUGGGACCGAGGAUCGCGCUUUUUGCUAGGAUGCUGGCGUAAUGGUUGCCAGCGACCCGUCUUGAAACACGGACCAGUAAGUUCUUCGUCCUGAAUAUGUUUUUGUCAAUACUAAUAUCUAUCGCAGAGGAGUCGACCAACCGCGCGAGUGUUUGGGUGUAAAGCUCACGAUGCGUAAUGAAAGUGAACGUAGGUGGGAGCUUCGGCGCACCAUCGACCGAUCUUGAUGUCUUCGGAUGGAUUUGAGUACGAGCGCGCUUGGUCGGACCCGAAAGUCAUGUGAUCUAUGCGUGAAUAGGGUGAAGCCAGAGGAAACUCUGGUGGAGGCUCGCAGCGGUUAUGACGUGCAAAUCGAUCGUCAAAUUUGCGCAUAGGGGCGAAAAACUAAUCGAACUGACUAGUAGCUGGUUCCUGUCGAAGUUUCCCUCAGGAUAGCAGCAACGAGCAACAGUCUCAUGUAAUAGAGCGAACGAUUAGAGGCCUUGGGGUUGAAACAACCGCCCCCUAUUCUCGAACUUCGAAUACGUGAGAAGGCCUGUUUCUUAAUGAACGGGACAUCGGAGAUCU
rnacentral:rRNA from 1 species